AUGCAUUUGAAAAACAUGGCUUUUGGACUUUGCAAAUCAGGGAGAAUCUCUGAUGUUUGGGAUCUUCUAGAUGAGAUGCAUGACAAAAGUCAGCCUGUUGAUAUGUUUACUUCCAAUUCUUUAUUGGAUGGUUUGUUAAAGAAUCAUGAGGUUGACUUGGCAAUUGCAUUACAAUGCUUGUUUGACGAAGCAUUGUCCUUGCAGUUGAAAAUGAAAGACAAUGGUUGCAUUCCUAAUUCUGUAACGAAAUUAUUGUGCUUUGUUUCAAAACGGCAAGAAUGA